UUUAUUCUAAAGUACCAUUUGGCAUUUCUCUCCCCUUUUUUCAACUUAAUUACUCAGUUCUUCUUCUCUUCUUUUUCUUUUCUUUUUGAGUUUGUAUCCAAAGGAGUCUUUUCCUUCGUUGAAUGUUAUUCUUUGUGCCAUAAGAUUCUCUUUUUUCUUUGUUUUUCCUAUUUUUCAAUCAUCAUUUUUCUUAUAUUUUUUUUUGCACUCACCUUAUUCAACAUCUGAUGGGGUUACCCCAAACUUAAAAUGAAACAUAACUUAAAGAACACAACAAUCACUCUGAACAUGGGAUAUAGGCUCAAAUUGGGCCGAGGGUUAUAUUGAUGUGGUGAUAUAUG
rnacentral:lncRNA from 1 species